AAUCAGCAAUUAUCUGGGUACUAAUAUUUUCUCUGAAUUUUCCUAGUCGGCGAGGAGAAUGUGGAGGAAACCUCCUGUGAAUCAGAAUCGCGUACUCCCCAGAUGCCACCCAGUGCGGAGGAUAGUGAUUUAUACCACAGAGAGGUUUGGAGAGGAUGUCCCAUCCAGGAACCCUUAACAGACCCACUUCACUCUAAGUGGUU